UUUUAAAAAAAAAAUCUAUUUUCAAUUACAUUAUUCCAUUUAAAUGUACCACAAUGGCUUUUAAAAAAAAGAUACUUCUAGCCUAUGUAUAUAUUCACAGCUGUCAGAAAUACGUGUCAUUCUUUGUCUUACAAAUCCCUGUUCUCAGCCAUUUCAGAACCUAAUCCUUGAGGCAGCCAUUUUGCUGAAAGGCAGUUCAAGAAACAGUCUGUCAGCCUGGCCUGGCUCUUGCUGAAAAUGCGUCAUUUCUGUACCCAACAUGAGCAUUAGUUCCAGAUUUUUGAAUGAUGCAAAAUUAAGGUCGGAGAGUCAAAUAUGAAAAAUACAUCUUGCAGGCAGAGCCCUCAUUAGCAUCCCCUCAUCAAUCUCCCAAAUCUAGGAGCUGGGAGACCAUUGUACUGUUAUCCUGCUGAUGUUGAGUUGAUGGGAAAUUGAAUGGAACAGACUGGCAGUUGUGAAGGCCGGCUGAUAAUGAUGGCACAAGCUCAACGAAGAAGCUUAGUAAAAUCUGGAGGAGGUGUUUUUUAUCAUUUGGCCUCAUUCUGUUGGUUGUUGGCAUUUGCUUGGCAAGAGGGAGGUGUUCUUAUCUCCCCGGCUAGAGAGAUUUUAAAUGUGCUUGAAAAUACUGAGCAUGCACUUCUGUUACUGCCUCUUCCCAGCAAGACCUGUGGAAGCAAGGCAGCUGUGUACUGAGCAGGAAAAUCCACUCAAACUGAUAACAUUCAGGUGUGAAUCAUGGCAAUGCAGUGAAAGACAGUGAUUUACAACUUUUGAGGGCAUGCAUGUAUAUGAUUAAGGGAUGGAGGUGAAGGACUCCAAGAUUUACUUCCUUUCCUUUCCUUUCCAGCAGAGUUACCUGAGAGGAGUGAGUAAUGGGAUCAUUUGCAACACCACAGGCCCCUUUUCAAGAGACCGGUAAUCAAAACAGGAAGACAAAACUGAGACGAUUUCAACUGGGAGAAUACAACUUUUGAUACUUUCUGGAUAUACCCUUAGCAAACAGGAGAGUCUUCAGAGUUUUCCUGUUUUAUAUUUUCAUGGAGAUUUUCGUUAAAAAGAUAUCAGUGGAUGGAACCGAGCAGGAGAGGAGGAAAGUGGCAGAUACUGUGUGAUGGCUGAGAAGUAGUGUUGGUGAGUUUGCUAGUCAUCUCCUGGCAAGUCCAUGCCAUUUGCUCAUGAUGGUGGGGAUGUGUGGGAUGGAAGGGAGGAGAACUGACAAUUAGGGAGGCAGGAAAUUCCUAGUAACACAGUUUUGCUCUUCAGUUUUCUAUGUGUUUUGUGGUCAUAAAUUCCAUACAGUGUCAUCUACCAGAUGUGUGUUCUAGGGACAUUCCUGUGCCUAGAACAGGAAUGGUGUUUGUAGCUCCUCUGUUUGUAGAAUGGUGAUGGUAAUACAAUUUCCCUGAUUGGGCUCUUUUAAGAUUUAAAUAGGUGGCUGGGUGAAGUGGCUCAGGCCUGUAAAUCCCCGCAUUUUGGGAGGCUGAGGC